GACGAACGCUGGCGGCGUGCUUAACACAUGCAAGUCGAACGGAGCACCCUUGACUGAGGUUUCGGCCAAAUGAUAGGAAUGCUUAGUGGCGGACUGGUGAGUAACGCGUGAGGAACCUACCUUCCAGAGGGGGACAACAGUUGGAAACGACUGCUAAUACCGCAUGACGCAUGACCUGGGCAUCCCGGGCAUGUCAAAGAUUUUAUCGCUGGAAGAUGGCCUCGCGUCUGAUUAGCUAGAUGGUGGGGUAACGGCCCACCAAGGCGACGAUCGGUAGCCGGACUGAGAGGUUGAACGGCCACAUUGGGACUGAGACACGGCCCAGACUCCUAUGGGAGGCAGCAGUGGGGAAUAUUGGGCAAUGGGCGAAAGCCUGACCCAGCGACGCCGCGUGAGGGAAGAAGGUCUUCGGAUUGUAAACCUUAGUUAGCAGGGAAGAAGAAAGUAGACGGUACCUGCAGAGAAAGCCAACGGCUAACUAACGUGCCAGCAGCGCGUAA
rnacentral:rRNA from 1 species